UGGGGUUUGAGGGAAGCAAACAGCUCGGGGGGAGCGUUGCACUCCGUUUAGGGUUUUGCAGUGGUGGUUGGUGAGGGUGGGGAUGAGAUCUGGAGGAGGAGCAGCGGAGCCAGGCUGGUGGCACUGAGGAGAAAGGGGAGCACAGGUGGACCCUCUGACCCCCAGGGAUGGUUCUGAGGUUGGUUUGGGGCUCAGCAGAGCUAGAGGGUCUGCGCAGCCUGGGGGUGACCCCAUGUCCCCGUGUCCCAGUGUUGGAGCUGACAAAGGAGGGAGACGUGGGCUGACUCCAAGUUCGGGGGAUCCAUUCUGUGCCCACCCAGAGCCCUUUAUGCCAACUCACCCUAUCCCAGCCCAUAGCAAGGGGCGCUGGCUGAGCCUGAUUUGGGACAGAUCAACGGCAUGAGGGCUCCUCCGAGCCGUGCACACGUGCUUUGCCUUUCCCAAGGGUUGGGGGGUCACUGCGUUGUGCCUGUCCCCAUCUCCCCAUCCGUGGGUAGCCCAUGGCUCCUGCCCUCCUGUUUGCAGAAGUUUAAUAGGAUUAGCAAUCUUAGAAGCCCUUGUGUGCUAAAUCCCGUAACUACUGCUGGAACCGGAGCGCUGAGUGGGGAGAGGGGAAAAAACCCAUGCAGAGAACGUUAAACCGAUCCCGAUUGCGGUGCAAUGUCAGGUUAAACACCGCGCUGCUUGGAACGGCGUCGGAGCCGAAUUCACACGGAUUUUGACAUCACCCAUUGGUGACGGUACCCAUUUGAGGUUUCGGAGCAAUGCGUGUCUCAUUCACGGGGCUUCAGCAGCGCAGAGAAGGGAGGGAAGGUUGAAUAGAAGUUAUCAGGAUCGGGACGAAGUGAGAAGCCCAGACAAUGUUAUCAGAAAUUGUUUAUUUAUAAUUAAAGGAUAUGUAACGUACGACUUUAUCAUCUUCCAAGCGAUAGUAUCUUUUGUUUUCUUUCUAAUGGGGGAUUAGGGAGGAAUGAUGUGUGCCACGCAGACAAUGAGCGAUAGCGGGGAAACAGCCCCGUCUGCUUUAGGAGAGAACAAUAACGCGUUGUUGGGCUGUCGGGGUGGUUUCAAAGGUAACGGGAUUCAUCCCCAAAUUCCCUUCCUAUGCCGUCGUGGGCUGCGGAGUCUGAUUUACCAUGGGGUCCAAAGCCCUGCGUGCAGUGCAGCUUCGAUAUGAGGAAAGAUAAAGGUUGAAGGAGUCAGUGUGUGUGAAAGUGCCGACCUCGUGGAGAAAGCAUUAAAACGCAGAUCUUAAUUCCCAGAAAUCCGAAUUACGUCCUUCCUGUUUCUCCCCACUUCCACUGCCACCCUCUCGUUCUGAAAACAUACAGCACUGCAUCGAAUGGAUGUGGGCGCUGAGAUUUCCCCUCUAAGAUCAUCCUACAGCAAACCUGCAAGCUGGGGAGCUCGGCUUCCCUUCCCAAGCACUGGAAAGCCCCUGAAAAUAAUAUAUAUAUAGUUUUCUCCCCAAAUACGUGUUGGUGGCUAUAGAAACUGAGUGCAGGAGUCCAACAAGAACAGAAUCCUGCGCUGCUUUUAUUACGUAUUCAUGCAAACAGCCCUCUGUCCAAGCGUGAGGCCAUCACUUAUCCCUUCUCUUGCAAUGCGACUUCUGGGGACGAAUCCCCUCUAUUUCUUCUUGCUGUUUGCAUCAGCGAAGUGCGAACUCGCCCGUGGCACCCGGAGAAACCGCAGCAAUAACAAUAAACAGCGAUGCAUACAUUCACAAGGAGACGUUCCGUACCGGACUUGAUUUAUUUACUCUGUUUAAAACGGAGUUAAAACUCACGUGGCAGCAAAAAAAAAAACCGAUACGGCUGGAAGAGAUGGGAGCUGUGAUGCUGUCAGUGCACGUGUGUGUUUGUGCGCACAUCCACGAAGCAAAACGCGGCGUUGGUUUCAGCCGUGGCUUCACGUUGUGGGGUAACAACUUCUCACCUGGUUGAAAGAUACCUAUUUGUACGCUGUGAAAUGUGAGAUUUCAUGUCCCAUUGGCGGCGCAUUCGAUCAAAUCGGGGCUGAACGGGUCCGUAGGAAAUUAAAGGACGGAUUUAAAGUUAAAAAUCCUCUUGCGGUGCUUUCUGAGAGAGCUGCGCUGCUCGUUAAUACAUAGAGAUGUAAAUGACAGCGGUCGUGGGUAGAUGGGUCGAAUAAAUCACUAAACCCCAUCAUUUCGGUAACAGAGGAUCGAGAGGAGAGCGCAAACCGUGCGGGGAACUUCUUCCCUCUUUUCUCCGUUCCCAAUCCCUCUGUGCGGAUGAGCCCCGACCGUUCAUAGAGCUGCUCCCUGUUUUCCCCUCCGCCUUUCUUGGGGGGACUGCGGGGCCCCAAGGAGAGAAAGGAAACGUUCCGCGGGUGCGGAGCUCCGAGGUGCGGGGCUGCGCCCAACCGUGCGCUGCGUUUCCUCCUCUUUUCAGCCCUAUCCGGCUGAUAUCGGCGCUUUUAAUUUUAAUUUAUAUAUAUUUAAUUACUAGCUCGUCAAGCCUCAGCCACCCAAGCCUUUCUUUUUUUAUUCCGUGGUGCUUUUUUUGCUGCUCACCCCCCCCCCCAUCUUUGCACUCUUCUCACCCCAGAAGUAGUGGGGCUCAGGGCUGCCCCGACGGGACCUUCCACGCUGGGAUUCCUCUCCAUGCAAGUUGCUCCCACAGAUCAACCCCUUCCCGAGCAACGCACAAUGCAAAGCAAACCCCCCCCUCAACCGUAAACCAGUGUUGUCUUUGGAUAUUCGUAAUUUAUUUACGGUUAGCCCCAAAUUUAACAAAGAUGACAGAUUGCUGUUGAGGGGGGGGCAGGGUGGGGGGAAUGCGAUUCAAUUAAUUUGUAAUCUUACGUUUCAUUAGAAAAUGUAAGAAUAAUGAUGGCAUCCAGCAGGCUGGGGGGCGGGGGAUGCGAAAAAUCAUAAACGGAGAUUUCCCCUUCCCAAAUCAGAUUAUAAAAUAAGCUGUUUUAAAUUAAAUUAGUCGAUGCGCGCUUGAUCAGGGUAACCUCAGAUUACGAGCGAGGUAAAAGCGUACAAACAAAUGGAACUAACGGAGGACGUGGAGUUGAGCCCUUCCCCCCUUUUUCGGUUGCGGCCCCCCCGGCGUUGGGGGGCUGUGGGUGGGGGUCCAGGAAUGGGGCAGAACCGGGGGGCAACGCUGCGAAGUGCAGUGGGGGCCCGGCUUGCAACAGGCGACCCUGGAGUAAAUAUUCAUAGCUCUGCCCGUACAGAGAGCUCCGUGCUUCACUUGCGGGUGCCGAACAGUUUUCCCUCGGGCUGAAGCUCAAAACCUGCGGAAAAGGGGAACUUGGAGGGGAGAAACCCCCACAUGUUGUUCCCUCAUCCCCCCCAAGUCUGGGCAGUUGGGUUCCUUUUGCCGCAUUCCUGUUGGGGCUCUGCGUUCCUUUGCUGUUAUUUAUUUCAACAUACAUUGAGUUUUUUUCCCAUCUAUUAUUAUUAUUAUUGUUGUUGUUGUUGUUGUUGUCGUUAUCGUUAUUAUUAAUUUCCCCCCCCGCCCCAACGGAACGAUCCCCAUCGGUACCGCGCGGCUUUGCGCUCCCGUCCGACCGCCCCCGACGGGCAAAGUUGAGGGGAGGGGGAAUAUCCCAAACAGCCCCCGAUCCCCAAAUUCUCUCCCGGCCAAACUUCAGCUUCGUUUGCUGUCGUUUCUCCCUUCGUUUCUCCACCUCAACCAAUUGAAAAAAGAAAACCUGAAAAUAAAACCGAGCACUACAACGAAACCAAUUGCUUUUGCUUCCCUCUAAAAAUCGUCCAAGUGGAAUUAUCGCCUCCAAAUGACAACGAGGGGGAAUUUGGUGGGGGGGGUGGGGGGUGGGGGGGGGAACGCCGUGGUUUUCUGGGUCUGGCUCAGCUCCGUGCGGUGGGAAGUGUGAAAUCUCGGCUGCCGUGCGCUCACACAAAGCCGUUCUAUUCGCCGGGAUUUGUCGGGUCGAGGAGGAUCCCGUUAAAGCCCGUCGCUAAACGCGGUUCUCCCACCUCGUUCCUUCAUUCAGCAAACGAAAAAAAAAGAGAAAGAGAGAGAGAGAGAAAAAAAUAAAUAAAAACAUCGCCAAAAAAUCCCCACCAAACCUUUUCCUUUAUUUUAUUUUUUUUGCGCUCGGUGUGAAAAAGAAGUUGGAAAUAAUAAACAUAGGGAAAAAAAGGGGGUGAUUUGAGCAGCGUUGUUAUUGCUGCCACGAGAAGCGACGUGAGUUCAUUCCUCGAAGGGGCGGCAGACGAGAAAUAGUUGAGCCAAAAACGUCGGCGUUUAUUCCCCAAAAGAAAAUCUUCGGUUCUGUUUUACGUUGUAAUGUAAAAUGAGUGCGAGAAAACCACAAAAACUUAGGAAGGCUUUAAGGUCCGUAGGUGGUGGGAACUCAUUGAGCCCCAUUGUGUGGCAUCAUUGGGGUUUUUCCUAUUAUUCUUAGGAAUUCGGACUCUUUAUUGUGAACGAAAUGUUUUCUUAGCGCUCCUUUAUUCCCCUGGAAAGCAAACAAGCAAACAAACUAAACAAGCCCUAUAAAAAUAAGUUCAGCCUUUUUGGGUGACAUCCCAGGUGUGAGGCUGAUGAGAGUUUCUAAACUUGGGUUAAUCGCACUCAGAAUGGGUUGGGAGCGAAAAGCGCUCCUCCGGUUUAUAGGAUCCAUAAGGAAAUCAGGGACGACAGCGGUGGAAACGUUCGCGAUUAAAGCGGAAGGACAAUAAGUGAGGUGAGACUUCUUAGGAUUAAACAGUUUCUCUUCACCCCCCCUCCACUGCUCGGAGGCAUUCGGAGAGAGCUUCUGCCACUCUCUUUGGGACAAAGGUGGAGACCUUCACAUCGGCUCUGCUCCUCGGGUGCCAACAUGGGGCCGCUUUGCAGCCGGACCCCCACAGCAAGAUGCAGCAAGAUGCAACCCUAAUGCGGCCACAACCAUGGGCCACACCGGUCUUAGGGCAGCCGUGACAACCUCCUAACACCCUUGCCAAGGCCUCGGCAGCACCCGCAGGCCUUGGCUGAUGGAGGAACGACAAGGAAGAGGAAGCCGGAGGACUGAGCGCGGGCACCGCCGCUCUUCCAGGGCCUCCACAAAAUGGCGGCGGGGCUCCCAAAUGGCGGCGGGGCCCGGCGGGGGGAAAAAAGCGCCGGCUCAGUGCCAGGGCCGCCGUGCAGGGCACAAUGAGUGGCACAUAACGGCCCCUCGCCGCGGCCGCUGCUCCGCGUGGUGCCAGCUGGAGCCCCCUCCCUCCGCCUUGGCACGGGCAGGCGCCCGGCGAUGGCCGCCUCAGAGGAGGAGGAGGAGGAGGAUUAAGGCCGCAGUUGUGUCUCCCCUCUUUCUUUCCCCCUCAGUGGCUGAGAACAGGAAACACGAACCUAUCUGAGACUAAUUGACUUGCAAAUUAAUCGUUUGUCCCUGUGCCUGAUAAUUAGUGCUAACGAUUUUUACACCCCCCCCCCCUUUUUUUUUUUUUUUUUUUUUUUGCGCUCUCCUCCUCUUUAUUUUACAGGAGGCCCUUCUCCCUUUCUUCUUCUUCCCUUUCUCCUUUGCCAUCCCCCCAAGCCUCUGUUCUUCCCCAAGCCCCCCUCCCAGCUGGCCCCCGCCGUGGGGUGGGGACGGCUGUGGGUUUGGGGGCACCCAUAGCUGCUGGUUGGCUUCCCACGCCUCGGUGCCAGCCCCACAUCUGCCCACCGGAGACAAUGAGCGGGGGGCUACGAUGGGGGCUGGAGCUUUGCAAUGGGCUGAGAUGGGCAGUGGGGUUGCCAGGGAUGUGGCAUCGGUUGGGGCUGCAAGCAGCUCACGUUCCCAAACGUUCCCAAAUAUCCAGGAAACGGGUAGAAAAGAAUACAGAGAAUUGUAUGAGGUCACAAGGUGGGCAGCAGUGUUUGGAUUUCUUGGCAGGGCUUUUUUCCAAAGCACCAUCUGAGAGCAAGGUGCUGCAGGGGUAUGGAAGGGAUAAAGAGAGCAAAGCAGCUCUCUUGAGGCCAUUUCCAUGGACCACGAUAGCAUCUCAUGCCUGAGCCUGGGAACAGCAACUGCUGGGGCUGCAGGGAGAGAUGUGCUCAGGGUCCAGGCUGGAUGUGGCUCUGAGCAGCCUGGUUUGGUGGUUGGCAGCCCUGCACAUAGCAGGGGAGUUGAAACUCAAUGAUCAUUGUGGUCCUUUUCAACCCAGGCCAUUCUACGAUUCCUUGGUGGUGUUUCAAUACAGAAGCAGUUUUGCUGGAGCCAACCCUUCUAAUGCCACGUUCCACUUCUUUUAUUCUUUUAUGUCCUUUUGGGGCGGGGGGGUUGGGAAAGGUAAGCUCCCUUUUUCCCUAUGCUGGAUGGGGUUUGCACGUUCACCUCCAUCCCUGAGGCACAUCUUCCUCUGCUGCCCCACCGUAGAUAAUUAAAUGGAUCCUUUUCCAUGUAGCUUGCCUCCCCGAGUGCGUCUGGUGCCUGACACGAUUUGUCAGCUGUAUCUCUGCUGUAAUCCCAUUUUUGCCCCCUCUCCCUGCCCUGCUUUGUGUUCAGGACUCCCUUCCCUCUUGUCUCACAGUUCCUGAUGCUCAGCUCUUCCGUCCCAGGGAGCCUGCAGUCCAUCAGCCCUCCUCUUAAACUUGGUGCUCAUGAACUUGGCGUGUUUGGUUUGAUCAGAGUUAAUUGCACACAAGCUCCAUCCGUCUGCAAACAGGGGUUCUUUGUUCCUGCAAGAAUCGCCUGCCCCAUAGGGUCACAGUGGCCACGACCUGCUGUCCCCAAGGGUCACUCUGCCAGCAUGCACUGUCAAUUCAAUCCGGGCACCGUAGCAGAGGGUGGGAUGCUGCAGGUUGCUGCAGCGUGAAGGCCAAAACAGGGAGAGGUGCAGCCAGUCAGCACCAUCCCAGUAGGCAACGGAGGCUUUGGGGUCAGGUGCAUUGAAAUAACGCAAUGAGCAAUGGUCAUUGAGCUUUAUGGAUGGGGAGAGAGGGUGACAGCGGUGUUCGGGGUGGAUUAACUCCUACCAGACUUAUACAGGAGGUCUCCCAGAUUAAGUUCAGUGGUUUGUGAAGGAUCCCUUUCUGCUUUGCCAGAGCAGCUCUGCAGCCCGUGACCAUGAAUCUGGUCGGCACACUCCUGCUCACCAGGCUCAGCCCCCCUUAAUUAACCCCCUGUGUCCUUAGAGACCUGAACCCCCACAUCCCUCUUUCCUGUGGGGCUUUCCAAGCUGCUCAGAGGCAUCCAUUGAAUUCUUAUUGGGUUUAUGUGUUCCCUCCACCAGGUUUCAUGGUGUGGUCCCAUGCUAGCACGAUGGGGGCCAUCGCUGCAAAGCCACAGCAGCAGAAGCCCAGAGGGAUGAGACAAAUCACUUUGCUGUCCUGGAGUACCUGGCGGCGGGUGCUGAAAAGAACCAGUUCCACCAGCACUGAGAUUGAUGGAGGGCUGGAGGCACCAGUUCCACCAGCACUGAGGGGUUGGGGGGCCAGAAAAGCCCUCCGACCUUCCUCACCCAGCCACGUCCUCCUCUGCUGCUGCUGGGGAAGGAAACCUCUAGCAGGUUUCCAUUUGACUGAGCUCAAGGGAUGAGUUAGGGCUCAUUUCGGAGGGGCCAGGGGAUGGUGGCUGGAGGCAGCAGAGGGCACGAGGCCCUUGGGAGCAUUUCCUCAGGCAGGUGGGAACGGUCCCAGAAGGGUAGAGGCGGGCGAGACGCUGCCUUCAGGCGCUUUCCCAAUCCCUCACACCUGGUACUCCGUCAAUGCAACCACUUGGCUAAAUGUGGGUCAUUGUAGGAGGGUGCAGCCACUCGAGCAAACAAGCCUCAAUUGCCCACUGAUUGGGGUGUCUGAGAGCACCGUCACUGAAAUUUCUGAGGGGGGAGGCAUUAAUAAUCCCCAUUCUGUCUCCGCAGCCCUUGCCCCCUUGUUAUUUCCCUCUUUGUGUCUUAAUUUGGCCCAUUAUUAUUAUUUUAUAAAAGGGCCCUUUCUCCACCCCCUCCCUCUUGAAGACACUCCUUAGACCGAUGGGAAAAUGGCAAGGAAUAAUUAUGAAAAACAUCAGUGGAGAGAGGGCCAUCUGAGAGGGAUUAAAGGAUUACAAUUAAAACUCAUUUUAGGGAGGUGGUGUGACAUUAGCGUUUCCAUUCUUCCCCCCCCACCCCCCUUCCCCAAACACCCUCUGGGCUAUCUGGGUCUAAGUUGAUUAAAUGACAAACUCCAGCUCGGAGGGAAACAACAACAAAUUAAAAAUAGAGUAAAAUGGGAGGGGGGAAAAAGGAAAAAAAAAAACAAAAAACAAAAAUCCCAAAAAUGAUUUGCAAAAUUGAGGUCACUGGGAAUUACUGCAAGUUCUAGCAGCAGCUGGAAGCAGGGUGGACAAAGCACCUGCUGCUAAUAGCAGGUUGCUGGUGAUGGAAUCAUCUCCCCUCCGCCUGGUCCUGCACAGGGGAAGGUCUGCUUGCAGCACACUGCUCUGCAGCAUCAGUGCCAACCUUGCAGUUGUCCACGCUCUGCUCCACGGUCCCACAUCACCAGAGAGAGGAUGGAGUGCAGACCUCGUGCCCACAGCCCUCGUGUCCCUCAGCCCAGGUUUGCAGCAGGGCUGCAAGGUGCAAUGCAAGCAUGCAAAAUGCAGCCGGAGCCACGGAGCCCGUGUUGCUACUGCUGUGCAUCCCCUCCUGUCACGGCUGCGUGGCACACUGUGCUCUGUUCUCACUGAUCGGGUUUGCAUUUGGCAGCUGCUACCCCUGCUUGGCUCGUGAGGGCUUCGUGGUGGCUCGAUUUCAACAAGUAAAAUGAAUUAUGGGAUGCUUGCCUGCCACCGAGGCUGGUGGUUAUGGAGUUUGUAAUGGAGGAUUUCCCUUUAUAAAACAAAAACGCCUAUAAAGCAUGUGAUUCUGAUGACACGAGCACCUCAACCUGUGCUGGCAGCCUUGUUUGAAAGGGAGAUAUGGGCUGAUGGGAGGCAGACAUCCAACACCAGCUCUGUGUCUGGGGUGUUCUGUAGGUGGGAGCUUCGAGCGCAAAGGCUCUGACCUGCAAGCACAGAUCUCACCAUAUAAACCAAACCACCUGCAAGCACAUGGGCUGGGGAUCCUUUCCCCUGACCUAUGCCUUUCAUUGACAUUGGGAGCACAGAGCAGAGCACCCCCUGCACCCCCUGCUCUGGGUUGGACCCGCUGCCUCUCUCCUUGGCAUAGCAGGGCACCAUCACGUGGCUGCACACGUGGGCACAGCGCUGUCAUGUGAGGUGCCACAUCGUUGUCUCAUAUUGUGAGGCUGCAAAAAGCUGAACGGAAGGGAAACUCCCCCCCCCCCCCCCCCCCCACAUACACACACACUCCGAUCCGGCCUAUUUUCUUUCCUCUCCUUUUGUUUCUGGUUUCCGGAACUAUGCAGCAAAGCAAAGCAUGGGGAGAAGAAAGAAGCUGAAGAGAGCUGGCAUCUGGCAGGGAAAAGAGCAAAAUAGCAGAGCAGGGCUUUGGGCAGAGGUGCAAGGUGCCCCCCUCCCCAAGCAGGGGCUGCCUGGGACCUGGGUGAGCCCUAGAAAAAUCAAUCUGAACACAGGAUGGGCUCCAUAAGGGACUCCAGGGGGAGCCAAGCCUUGAAUUUAGGGGCUGAGUAGGCAUCUCUCUGCAGCCCUUGUCCCUCACCCCCUCCUGCAUGCUGCACCCAGCAUUGGCAGCCUCGUGCUGCAUCCUUUGCAAAGCAGAGGGGGGACGAGUUGGGGACCAUCCUUCUGCAGCACUGUGUGUGCUCCCGUGCUGUCCCUUUGCAGGCAGGGUGAGAUGCCAGAAUAUAUUUGAUUCAUGUUUAUUUAUUUUUUUUUCCUCCAUCCCGGUCAGUGCAGAGGGGUCUUUGCAUACAGUCCCAAAUGAAGAUAAUGUUAAUUAGGUCAAUUAAUUAGGACCGAGAUGCACUGUUUUCCCCCAGAGUAGAAAAUACAGUAAACUCCAUUUUUUAUGAGCUGUUUAUUCAGCCCGGGAGGUCGCAGCAGAAUAGCAGUGUCAAAGGAGCUGCCAUUGCCAAGGUCCUCGUGUCCCCUCCGCGCCGCCCCAGAAAGGGAACAAAACUCUGUUGACAGCAAAGUCCCAGCAGGAGCCCUGAGCUGAGGGGCACAGAGCAGCGAAGCGGAAAGGGUGCCAGCUUCCCGAGCACCAGGAGGGAACAGGCUGCAGUCCCCAGCAUUUCAAUGGGCCGGGGGGAAGCAAUCAGGCCUUUCAAGGGUUGUUCUCAUCAGCGCAGAGGGGACAAUGUGCUGCUGGCAGCGGGACAGGGCGCAGGGGACAAAGGGCUGCCCGUGGUUGGGCACAGCUCUGUCCCAUCUCAGGGUGCUCCCAGAUCCCUGGGCCAGGGGCAGACCCGCGUGGCUCUCCUUCUGUUUUAUGUUAUCCUUUGGGAUGCACGUGAUGUACACCUCCACCAGCAAGCAGAGGGUGACAGCCUGCCGACCGUUGCUGACUGAGCCUCUCUCUUGCAUUGCUUUCCACUCACUGCACCCCAGAAGCCUGCAGUCGGCAGAGCUCAGCCCAUGCCCAGUCUCCCAGCUGCGCCGUAGCUCUGCCCAGACCCUUGCAAUGGGAUGGGAGGGUUUAGGAUUCUGCUGCCAUUGUGGGGUUUUUUGGACCUGGAUGUGCUCAAUGCAUACCCUGCAGCUCUUCACCAGCGUUGCCCACAGCUCCAUCUCCCGUCAGCAUCGCCCUGCUUGCUUGCAGGGCAGUGCAUCCUGGGAAUUUCCUUCCCCAGAAUGCCUUCACCCCAACCCGAUGGUGCACACAACCAUCACACUGACCCCCCCCCUCCUGCUGCUGACCAGAGCGAGGAUGAAAGCAGCUCUUUUCUUUUUUUUCCCCUCUCUUUCAUUCAUUCAUUCAUUCAUUCUUUCUUUCUUUCUUUCUUUCUUUCUCUCUUUCUUUCUUUUUAAUGGCGUUUCAUUAGCCUCCAAAUCAGACAGGCUAAACAAUGGCGUUCUGUCAGCAAUGGGCUUUCGUGCUGAUUUCAUCUCCUCUCUCAUCCGUAUGCAAACCAGGCUCCAGCAGGCUUUGGCCAUGCCAUGGAAACCGAGGUGCAGGCCCGGAAUGGGGGUUCUCAGAGUGAGAAAUCUCCUGUUCGCUUUUUCCCAUUUGCAUAAUGCAACUUUUCUUCCUGCAGACACUGAGGCGCUUUUGUUUAUAGAGAGCUGAGGG
ensembl:lncRNA